rnacentral:lncRNA from 1 species
GCGGGGUGAGGGAAGACUUAUGGGGUGGAUGAGAUCAUGUCUAAGUUGAAUCCUCAAACUUGAACUAGAGUUACCCAGAGUUAGCAAGGGCACAGGGCAGAGGCAGGGGUAGGGCCUGGGGGAUGGAAGGAGUGAGGAGGUCCACGUAGAACAUCAUGGGCAGAGACUCAGAUGCAGGAAACAGUGUAUCUAGAACUGUAGAUGGUUCUGCUUAUCUGUAGAGGAGGAUGCAUGUGGCAAGUGGCAGACAAGCUAGUGAGGUAGACAGGAGGCCAGCAUUCAAGGGAGCAGCAGAGGAAGAGAAAUCUGGGAAGAAGACUAAGAAGGAGCAGUCCAAAGGAGAGAAGGAAAAUCAAGGAAGAAGUGGAGAGCAAGAGAGGAAGCAGGGAACAGCAGAAGUAGUAUUAGAAUGGAGGUCAGGACAGCUGGACCCACACCCUGCUCUGUAGUCCCUUAGCUUCCUGUGAGACCUGGCAGGGGCAAGGCCCUCAAAAAUUUGUGUCAUGAUGGUGAGAGGAACUGGAGAAGCUCUCACCUACAAGUGAUCUUCUGCCGGAAAGAGCUGGAAAGACGCUGUGACCCUGAGUGGAUCCCAAAGCCCAUCUUGGUCAGCCUGUCAAAUGGAAGGAUGGGAGUUCUUCAAAGGUCUCUUCUAGGGCAAAAGGUCCAUGACUUCACAUACUCCUGAAAUCAACUCAUGAUCUCCCUUCACGCCAUCAAUGUGGGUGGGCACUGGAUCAGAAGCCCCUGUGUGCCAUGUUCCCACUUCUUACACUGCAUCGCUAUUAAUGCUCCAGCUUGGGUCACAUCCAUCAUCUCUCCAUGACUGCUGUCAGUUUAAAGUCUCUUGCUUCUCUUUGCUUGUUUUACUUUGAUCCUUCUCUACAAUUUCUUUGGAUGAUUGUGGAUUAUCUGAGGAAAUGCCAAUACUCACUUAUGUCAUCCAACCAUGAAUCUUGGGAUUCAUACCCAUCUCUUAUAAUACAAGAAAUACAGUACAUAUGCAUUCAAAAUAUGACUUUCUUUGGG